rnacentral:misc_RNA from 1 species
GAGGUGCCAAAAGAUGUGCUGGAUAUGCUAUGCUACCUUCAGAGUAAUUUUAAAGUUCAAGUUCAUAUUUCUGGGAUGACAGUUCUAACACUACAGAUGAAGUGCAUGAAUUUUGCUAAUAAAAGGGGUGCAAUGAAUGAUUAACGCCAAAUGAAGAUACUUUUAUUCUUAUGUUAAAGAGAAGUAGCAUGGGGACUGGAAAUGUGAAAGCCAUGGUUUUCGGUCCGUGAAUUUGAGUUUGGAAAAAUUUUGCUAAUGGUUUAAGGAAAGGC